UCUGGAAUAGUAAGGUGACCAAACGUCCUCCUUUAGGGAGGACAGUCCUUUUGUACGUUCUGUCCUCUCUUGAAAAGUGUCCUCCUACAUGUCCUCCUUUUCGAUAUUUGAAGACUAAUCUGUAAAUCUCCGUAUUCGAUUGAUGCCGAUCUGAUCCGUUGCAUGUGAUGUGACAUAUUUGUAUUUGACAUGACGAUUCGUCAAGGCUCGGUACAUUGUGGCGAGACGCGAUUAUGAGACACAUGCGCUCCGCACAGGAGAAUUGUUUUGAGAGAGUGUGCCAUGCUCAAGAGUGCGCCACGCACAAGUGGUUUUGUUUACUUCUUACCGAAACACGACAUGGCACACACGCACGCAUUAGACUCACUUCUUUCUCAGUGAAUAUUCAAUCAUACACAGGAAGACAUUACUUGUCUAAAUUGUAUCAGGGACUGAAGACUCAUAUGUUGGAAUUGCAAGCAAGAAGAAGAAAAUAAUAAUGGAGAUACUCACAGAGACAAUUUCAGGCACAAAUGCCAUGACUUCUUGGAUUCCGACGCGCAUCUUCCAGGCAGAGCAAGUGAGAGUGCUGGUUGAUGUAUCACAUAAAUCAUAUUAUACAAAUCUCCCUGGGGUUCUUCUAUCGCUCUUGCUGGCAGCAGGAGUCAAACAGACAGAAUUCAGCAGCAUGUACCUGCCCCGCUGCUCUUUCUUGGAUAAGCCAAAAUUCUUCACUAAUUUGGUUUCUUGCUGCCAUUAUCUUGGAACAGGUAAAAAAGGUCAAUUUCUGACAAACAGCAUCUGUCUUUCUUGAACAUAAAAAAAGCAGCACUCA